rnacentral:rRNA from 1 species
GCGGCGGACGGGUGAGUAACACGUGGGUAACCUGCCUGUAAGACUGGGAUAACUCCGGGAAACCGGAGCUAAUACCGGAUAGUUCCUUGAACCGCAUGGUUCAAGGAUGAAAGACGGUUUCGGCUGUCACUUACAGAUGGACCCGCGGCGCAUUAGCUAGUUGGUGGGGUAAUGGCUCACCAAGGCGACGAUGCGUAGCCGACCUGAGAGGGUGAUCGGCCACACUGGGACUGAGACACGGCCCAGACUCCUACGGGAGGCAGCAGUAGGGAAUCUUCCGCAAUGGACGAAAGUCUGACGGAGCAACGCCGCGUGAGUGAUGAAGGUUUUCGGAUCGUAAAGCUCUGUUGUUAGGGAAGAACAAGUGCGAGAGUAACUGCUCGCACCUUGACGGUACCUAACCAGAAAGCCACGGCUAACUACGUGCCAGCAGCCGCGGUAAUACGUAGGUGGCAAGCGUUGUCCGGAAUUAUUGGGCGUAAAGGGCUCGCAGGCGGUUUCUUAAGUCUGAUGUGAAAGCCCCCGGCUCAACCGGGGAGGGUCAUUGGAAACUGGGAAACUUGAGUGCAGAAGAGGAGAGUGGAAUUCCACGUGUAGCGGUGAAAUGCGUAGAGAUGUGGAGGAACAC